rnacentral:rRNA from 1 species
UACGAAGGGGGCUAGCGUUGCUCGGAAUCACUGGGCGUAAAGGGUGCGUAGGCGGGUCUUUAAGUCAGGGGUGAAAUCCUGGAGCUCAACUCCAGAACUGCCUUUGAUACUGAAGAUCUUGAGUUCGGGAGAGGUGAGUGGAACUGCGAGUGUAGAGGUGAAAUUCGUAGAUAUUGGGAGGAACACCAGUGGCGAAGGCGGCUCACUGGACCGGAACUGACGCUGAGGCGCGAAAGCGUGGGGAGCAAACAGG